UGAUGGAGGUAGAUAUGUAUAGGGGGAAGGAGACUAUAUACAGGGUCAGUACCAUAUUAACAAUGUACAGGGAUACUGGAGUGAUGGAGGUAGAUAUGUAUAGGGGGAAGGAGACUAUAUACAGGGUCAGUACCAUAUUAACAAUGUACAGGGAUACUGGAGUGAUGGAGGUAGAUAUGUAUAGGGGGAAGGAGACUAUAUACAGGGUCAGUACCAUAUUAACAAUGUACAGGGAUACUGGAGUGAUGGAGGUAGAUAUGUAUAGGGGGAAGGAGACUAUAUACAGGGUCAGUACCAUAUUAACAAUGUACAGGGAUACUGGAGUGAUGGAGGUAGAUAUGUAUAGGGGGAAGGAGACAGGGAUACUGGAGUGAUGGAGGUAGAUAUGUAUAGGGGGAAGGAGACAGGGAUACUGGAGUGAUGGAGGUAGAUAUGUAUAGGGGGAAGGAGACAGGGAUACUGGAGUGAUGGAGGUAGAUAUGUAUAGGGGGAAGGAGACAGGGAUACUGGAGUGAUGGAGGUAGAUAUGUAUAGGGGGAAGGAGACAGGGAUACUGGAGUGAUGGAGGUAGAUAUGUAUAGGGGUAAGGAGACAGGGAUACUGGAGUGAUGGAGGUAGAUAUGUAU